rnacentral:rRNA from 1 species
UACGUAGGGUGCGAGCGUUGUCCGGAAUUACUGGGCGUAAAGAGCUCGUAGGCGGUUUGUCACGUCGUCUGUGAAAUCCUAGGGCUUAACCCUGGACGUGCAGGCGAUACGGGCUGACUUGAGUACUACAGGGGAGACUGGAAUUUCUGGUGUAGCGGUGGAAUGCACAGAUAUCAGGAAGAACACCGAUGGCGAAGGCAGGUCUCUGGGUAGUAACUGACGCUGAGGAGCGAAAGCAUGGGUAGCGAACAGGAUUAGAUACCCUGGUAGUCCAUGCCGUAAACGGUGGGCGCUAGGUGUGGGGUUCCUUCCACGGGCUCCGCGCCGUAGCUAACGCAUUAAGCGCCCCGCCUGGGGAGUACGGCCGCAAGGCUAAAACUCAAAGAAAUUGACGGGGGCCCGCACAAGCGGCGGAGCAUGUGGAUUAAUUCGAUGCAACGCGAAGAACCUUACCUGGGCUUGACAUAUAGAGGAUCGCUACAGAGAUGUGGUUUCCCUUGUGGCUUCUAUACAGGUGGUGCAUGGCUGUCGUCAGCUCGUG